ACCCUUAUCUAGCUGUGUGUUUUGUCUGCCCGUCACAGGUAGGCGGGGCGGUGUGUCACGGGAUGUUGGCACACAUCAGACGUCAUUUGAUGGAGUGUUAUUUAGGAGCAGCACGACAGACGUCUGGUGUCGGGGUAUUGCCACCUCCCCGAGUGCCGGAUCCGUCACCCGCUUGCCUGUCAGCUGUUCGUGAAGCCGCAUUUCUGGGAUCACUACAGAGAUCAAUCUCAGCUUUUCUCUCACAUCCCGUGAGCUCUCCAACUCUCCCCAUAUUUAUUGCCGU